CAGUAAGUCUUAAGGAGGAAGUUGAAGUGACUUUGCAGAUUUUCUUUAUGGGAGGCUUUUCCUUUACAAAAGGAACAUGAUAAAAGAGGAAGGGGCUGUGCUGGGGGAGCACCAGCAGCUGGUGCUUCUUGGUCAGCUGCAAGCAAGUACUGACCAGUGUAUGCUUUGAGAGAGGUGGGCAAUACAAAGUACAGAGCUUGUCUGAUGCAGUAGGAGAAGAAAAAGGUAGAUGAGGGAUGCAGAGUAAGUAAAAAUACAAUAGAAGUGAUAAGUCAGCAAGAUAAUUUUAUUGUAAUGGUUUAAAUGGUUUAGCAGGGAAAGCAAGUAGAUUUGUUGAAACCAGAAAGAGGAAGCUUCAGCUGUCAACAUGCAGGCCAGUGAAGACCUGAACCAGAGCUUUAGCAAAGAAUAAUGGGCUGGAUCUUCAAGGUAGUAUGCAGGAAGAAUGAAUCAGCUUUGUGUUGAACAGGUUGCUUCCUCUCUUGCCAUCUGUGCAUGUUGAAGAGAAUGCUUUUUGUAUUCACAGGUUGAUUUAGGAAAAGGUACCAAUGCUUUUGGAAAUUUCUCAAGCAAAUCACUCAGUUCACUCUUCCUUAGCCCAGACAUCAUCAGGAAGCAGCAAGGACUGAGCCCCGCUUCUCCCACAGCCCCCAGGCUGACACUCGGCCUGGCCCCACAGAAGGUGCCUGUUGGGGUGGCUGCCACUAGGUGAGGAAGGGAGACGUCUAAUGGCACCCAGGGAUCCUGCAGGCACACAGUUAUGUGGGAGCUCAGCCACUGGCUUGA